AUAUUUAGACCAGAUUUAACACCUAAUUGUAUGUUUCAAAGAUCUAUCAGUGUUCCAAAUUUGAAGAAAAUCCAUGGAAGUUAAAUAUGUUUUUCUAUUAAAUAAAUUUUUAGUGUUGCUUGUCCUAACCA